ensembl:lncRNA
AAACUGGAUUCAAACCCAGGAUGCCUGGCUUCCAAGGUCAAUGAUUUGGGCAAGUGACCUUUCUGAAACUUAGCUUUCUCAUCUGUGAAAUGGAGAAAACUUCCUAUAAGUGUUUAAGAGUAAUGAAUAAGCCCCGCCAACGAGCCCGGAUGCGAACGAGGUUUCCAAAGACGUGCUGGGGUCCGGCACACGGGCCAGGUUUGCCUGGGGAGGACACCCUGAGGCUGGCUGGCCAGAGGGCGUGUCUGGAAGAGCAAAGCUGGGGCAGAGACCUUUUGAAAACCUCUGCCUCGAGACCCGGUAUUUAAACCCACUGGCAGCUACGGACUGCACAAGACAUUUCUUGGGGGGCUGGGCUGGAAAGCACAGCAGAGUGGAAAGCGAUGUGGAUGUCCUGGACGCAUUCUGGUCCCCUGGAAAGUUAAACACGCCUGUUAAAGACAAAACCUGCGUUAGCUCAGGCUGCAGCCUGCAUGGGAGACGUCAGACUGCAGCUGAGUGUGGCAGGGACCUCCAGAGGCUUGGGCUUUUCUCUCCUGAUACCCUAACUCAUCUCCCCAACUGAUGUGCCCCACUCCCUCACUUAUGAAACAUGGGCUGAGAGGACGCACCUCCUGCCUCUCUCAUGGGAGUGUUAUAAAGAUUAAUGAUGCGGCCCUCGGUGCUCCUGGAGGGAGGCUCUGCACAACUGUUAACUUUUCAGCAUACCGCUCUCCGUAAUGUUUUCCAUAUAGACCUGUCAGCUUCCCUGAAACACAGCAGAGAAUGGAUAGUUAUACAAUUUACCGUGUCCUAGGGAUGCGAGGCUGUGCUCAGGACUUCGGUGAUGAUCCAGCGCUUAAUAAUCCUCCUCGCGAUGCCGGAGACACAGGUUCCACCCCUGGUUGGGGAUCUGAGAGCCUGCAAGCCUCAACUAGAGAGAGCAUGCCGCCGUCUAUAGAGACCACAACCAAGAGAAGCCCACGUGCCAAAACUAAGACCCAAU